rnacentral:rRNA from 1 species
UACAGAGGUCUCAAGCGUUGUUCGGAUUCAUUGGGCGUAAAGGUUGCGUAGGUGGUGUGGUAGGUCGGAUGUGAAAUCCCGGGGCUCAACCCCGGAACUGCAUUCGAUACUGCCUUGCUCGAGUACUGGAGAGGAGACUGGAAUUUACGGUGUAGCAGUGAAAUGCGUAGAUAUCGUAAGGAAGACCAGUGGCGAAGGCGAGUCUCUGGACAGUUCCUGACGCUGAGGCACGAAGGCCAGGGGAGCAAACGGG